rnacentral:rRNA from 1 species
AAAACUUUCAACAACGGAUCUCUUGGUUCUGGCAUCGAUGAAGAACGCAGCGAAAUGCGAUAAGUAAUGUGAAUUGCAGAAUUCAGUGAAUCAUCGAAUCUUUGAACGCACAUUGCGCCCGCCAGUAUUCUGGCGGGCAUGCCUGUCCGAGCGUCAUUUCAACCCUCAAGCCCCCAGCGGCUUGGUGUUGGGGACCGGCGACCUCGCCCGCACCCCCCCCGGUGCAGGCGCCCGCCGCCCCCGAAAUGAAUUGGCGGUCUCGCCGCGGCCUCCCCUGCGUAGUAGCACAACCUCGCAACGGGAGCGCGGCGCGGCCACCGCCGUAAAACGCCCAACUUUUUUCAGAGUUGACCUCGGAUCAGGUAGGAAUACCCGCUGAACUUAAGCAUAUCAAUAAGCGGAGGAAAAGAAACCAACAGGGAUUGCCCCAGUAACGGCGAGUGAAGCGGCAACAGCUCAAAUUUGAAAUCUGGCCCGCAGGGUCCGAGUUGUAAUUUGCAGAGGAUGAUUUUGGCAAGGUGCCUUCCGAGUUCCCUGGAACGGGACGCCACAGAGGGUGAGAGCCCCGUCUGGUCGGACGCCGAGCCUGUGUAAAUCUCCUUCGACGAGUCGAGUAGUUUGGGAAUGCUGCUCUAAAUGGGAGGUAUAUGUCUUCUAAAGCUAAAUACUGGCCAGAGACCGAUAGCGCACAAGUAGAGUGAUCGAAAGAUGAAAAGCACUUUGAAAAGAGGGUUAAAUAGUACGUGAAAUUGUUGAAAGGGAAGCGCUCAUGACCAGACUUGGGCCCGGUGAAUCAACCAGCGUUCUCGCUGGUGCACUUUGCCGGGCUCAGGCCAGCAUCAGUUUGCCCCGGGGGAUAAAGGCUUUGGGAAUGUGGCUCCUCCGGGAGUGUUAUAGCCCACUGCGCAAUAUCCUGGGGCGGACUGAGGUUCGCGCAUCUGCAAGGAUGCUGGCGUAAUGGUCAUCAGCGACCCGUCUUGAAACACGGACCAAGGAGUCGUCUUCGUAUGCGAGUGUUCGGGUGUAAAACCCCUACGCGUAAUGAAAGUGAACGCAGGUGAGAGCUUCGGCGCAUCAUCGACCGAUCCUGAUGUUCUCGGAUGGAUUUGAGUAGGAGCAUACGGGGCCGGACCCGAAAGAAGGUGAACUAUGCCUGUAUAGGGUGAAGCCAGAGGAAACUCUGGUGGAGGCUCGCAGCGGUUCUGACGUGCAAAUCGAUCGUCAAAUAUGGGCAUGGG